rnacentral:tRNA from 1 species
GUUUCUGUAGUGUAGUGGUAUUCACGUUCGCCUCAAACAAGAAAGGUCCCCGGGUUCGAAACCGGGCAGACGAAACA